rnacentral:rRNA from 1 species
UAAACUAGGAUUAGAUACCCUAUUAUUUUGGAUGUUAAAUGCUUGAGUAGUAUUAGCUAUGUUCUUGAAACUUAAAGAAUUUGGCGGUAUCUCAUUCCUUCCAGAGGAAUCUGUCUCGUUAUCGAUAGUCCGCGUUGGACCUUACUUAGUUUGUAUACCGCCGUUUAUUGAUUAUCUUUUUAGAGUUUUUAAUUUUUUGGUUUCUUUAUUUUGAUUUAUUUCAGGUCAAGGUGCAGCUUGUUUUUAAGUGUAUGAUGGAUUACAUUGUUAUUUGUUUUUGGAUUGUUGAUUUUAAUAUUAAUAUGAAAUUGGAUUUGGUUGUAAUUGUUUGUAAAUUGUUAUUGUGAUAAGUGGUUCUGGGAUAUGUACACAUCGCCCGUCGCUCUCGUGUAAGAGAUAAGUCGUAACAUAGUA